UGCUCUAGUUUUGCAUCCUGUUGGAACUGGUAUAAAAAAGGGCGACGCCAGCCAAGCCACAUCACUCUUUGAUUUUUCAACCCAGAGAGACGAGAGACCAUGAACAAAGUUACCAUUAUCGUGUUUGUCGCGGUUGCCUUCGUGGCACUGUGCUCCUUCUCCUCCGCUCAUCCGGAACCAGAACCAGAGCCUCAACCCGCCGUCCAGAAAGGGAGAUCAGGCAAGAAAAAUCCGGCCGAUGCUGCCAACAAGAAAACUAAUGACGCCACGAAAACCGAUGACACCCAAGACCCUGAAAAACCAGCUGUCGACGGAAAAAAACCAGCGGAAUUAAAGAAAGAAGCUCCAAAGAAAGGAGGUAUCAAGAAAGCUAAGAAGGCUCCAGCAAAAAAAUCAGCGAAUGCUCAGAGUGCAGUAAAGCCACAAGUUCCUUGAUGGGUUUAUUUGAAACAGAAUAAAAAAUCGCGCGUAUAAGUGCGAAAUCUCUGAAA